rnacentral:rRNA from 1 species
GGUUAAGCGACUAAGCGUACACGGUGGAUGCCCUGGCAGUCAGAGGCGAUGAAGGACGUGCUAAUCUGCGAAAAGCGUCGGUAAGGUGAUAUGAACCGUUACAGCCGGCGAUGUCCGAAUGGGGAAACCCAGUGUGAUUCGUCACACUAUCGUUAACUGAAUACAUAGGUUAACGAGGCGAACCGGGGGAACUGAAACAUCUAAGUACCCCGAGGAAAAGAAAUCAACCGAGAUUCCCCCAGUAGCGGCGAGCGAACGGGGAGCAGCCCAGAGUCUGAAUCAGCUUGUGUGUUAGUGGAACGGUCUGGAAAGUCCGACGGUACAGGGUGAUAGUCCCGUACACCAAAAUGCACAGGCUGUGAACUCGAAGAGUAGGGCGGGACACGUGGUAUCCUGUCUGAAUAUGGGGGGACCAUCCUCCAAGGCUAAAUACUCCUGACUGACCGAUAGUGAACCAGUACCGUGAGGGAAAGGCGAAAAGAACCCCGGCGAGGGGAGUGAAAAAGAACCUGAAACCGUGUACGUACAAGCAGUGGGAGCACCUUCGGGUGUGACUGCGUACCUUUUGUAUAAUGGGUCAGCGACUUAUAUUCUGUAGCAAGGUUAACCGUAUAGGGGAGCCGCAGGGAAACCGAGUCUUAACUGGGCGUUAAGUUGCAGGGUAUAGACCCGAAACCCGGUGAUCUAGCCAUGGGCAGGUUGAAGGUUGGGUAACACUAACUGGAGGACCGAACCGACUAAUGUUGAAAAAUUAGCGGAUGACUUGUGGCUGGGGGUGAAAGGCCAAUCAAACCGGGAGAUAGCUGGUUCUCCCCGAAAGCUAUUUAGGUAGCGCCUCGUGAACUCAUCUUCGGGGGUAGAGCACUGUUUCGGCUAGGGGGUCAUCCCGACUUACCAACCCGAUGCAAACUACGAAUACCGAAGAAUGUUAUCACGGGAGACACACGGCGGGUGCUAACGUCCGUCGUGAAGAGGGAAACAACCCAGACCGCCAGCUAAGGUCCCAAAGUCAUGGUUAAGUGGGAAACGAUGUGGGAAGGCACAGACAGCCAGGAUGUUGGCUUAGAAGCAGCCAUCAUUUAAAGAAAGCGUAAUAGCUCACUGGUCGAGUCGGCCUGCGCGGAAGAUGUAACGGGGCUAAACCAUGCACCGAAGCUGCGGCAGCGACACUAUGUGUUGUUGGGUAGGGGAGCGUUCUGUAAGCCUGCGAAGGUGUGCUGUGAGGCAUGCUGGAGGUAUCAGAAGUGCGAAUGCUGACAUAAGUAACGAUAAAGCGGGUGAAAAGCCCGCUCGCCGGAAGACCAAGGGUUCCUGUCCAACGUUAAUCGGGGCAGGGUGAGUCGACCCCUAAGGCGAGGCCGAAAGGCGUAGUCGAUGGGAAACAGGUUAAUAUUCCUGUACUUGGUGUUACUGCGAAGGGGGGACGGAGAAGGCUAUGUUAGCCGGGCGACGGUUGUCCCGGUUUAAGCAUGUAGGCUGAUUAUCCAGGCAAAUCCGGAUAAUCAAGGCUGAGGUGUGAUGACGAGGCACUACGGUGCUGAAGUAACAAAUGCCCUGCUUCCAGGAAAAGCCUCUAAGCAUCAGGUAACAUCAAAUCGUACCCCAAACCGACACAGGUGGUCAGGUAGAGAAUACCAAGGCGCUUGAGAGAACUCGGGUGAAGGAACUAGGCAAAAUGGUGCCGUAACUUCGGGAGAAGGCACGCUGGUGUGUAGGUGAAGUCCCUGCGGAUGGAGCUGAGACCAGUCGAAGAUACCAGCUGGCUGCAACUGUUUAUUAAAAACACAGCACUGUGCAAACACGAAAGUGGACGUAUACGGUGUGACGCCUGCCCGGUGCCGGAAGGUUAAUUGAUGGGGUUAUCCGUAAGGAGAAGCUCUUGAUCGAAGCCCCGGUAAACGGCGGCCGUAACUAUAACGGUCCUAAGGUAGCGAAAUUCCUUGUCGGGUAAGUUCCGACCUGCACGAAUGGCGUAAUGAUGGCCAGGCUGUCUCCACCCGAGACUCAGUGAAAUUGAACUCGCUGUGAAGAUGCAGUGUACCCGCGGCAAGACGGAAAGACCCCGUGAACCUUUACUAUAGCUUGACACUGAACAUUGAGCCUUGAUGUGUAGGAUAGGUGGGAGGCUUUGAAGCGUGGACGCCAGUCUGCGUGGAGCCAACCUUGAAAUACCACCCUUUAAUGUUUGAUGUUCUAACGUUGGCCCCUGACCGGGGUUGCGGACAGUGUCUGGUGGGUAGUUUGACUGGGGCGGUCUCCUCCCAAAGCGUAACGGAGGAGCACGAAGGUUAGCUAAUCCUGGUCGGACAUCAGGAGGUUAGUGCAAUGGCAUAAGCUAGCUUGACUGCGAGCGUGACGGCGCGAGCAGGUGCGAAAGCAGGUCAUAGUGAUCCGGUGGUUCUGAAUGGAAGGGCCAUCGCUCAACGGAUAAAAGGUACUCCGGGGAUAACAGGCUGAUACCGCCCAAGAGUUCAUAUCGACGGCGGUGUUUGGCACCUCGAUGUCGGCUCAUCACAUCCUGGGGCUGAAGUAGGUCCCAAGGGUAUGGCUGUUCGCCAUUUAAAGUGGUACGCGAGCUGGGUUUAGAACGUCGUGAGACAGUUCGGUCCCUAUCUGCCGUGGGCGCUGGAGAAUUGAGGGGGGCUGCUCCUAGUACGAGAGGACCGGAGUGGACGCAUCACUGGUGUUCGGGUUGUCAUGCCAAUGGCACUGCCCGGUAGCUAAAUGCGGAAGAGAUAAGUGCUGAAAGCAUCUAAGCACGAAACUUGCCCCGAGAUGAGUUCUCCCUGAGACUUUAAGUCUCCUGAAGGAACGUUAAAGACGAUGACGUUGAUAGGCCGGGUGUGUAAGCGCAGCGAUGCGUUGAGCUAACCGGUACUAAUGAACCGUGAGGCUUAACCUU